AUGGUCGGGAUAGCUCAG
rnacentral:tRNA from 19 species